UAUGUGAUCGUCUCUCGCAUAUCAAUAAGCGGAGGAAAAGAAACUAACAAGGAUUCCCCUAGUAACGGCGAGUGAAGCGGGAAGAGCUCAAAUUUGAAAUCUUAAAGGGUUUCCCUUUACGAAUUGUAGUUUAGAGAAGUGUUUUCUGUUGAGGUUUUGGUAAAAGUUCUUUGGAAUAGGACAUCAUAGAGGGUGAGAAUCCCGUAUUUGACCUUUACUUUCAACUUUGUGAUACACUUUCAAAGAGUCGGAUUGCUUGGAAUGCAGUCCAAAAUGGGUGGUAAAUUUCAUCUAAAGCUAAAUAUUGGCGAGAGACCGAUAGCGAACAAGUACCGUGAGGGAAAGAUGAAAAGAACUUUGAAAAGAGAGUUAAACAGUACGUGAAAUUGUCAAAAGGGAAGCGUUUGACACCAGUGUUGUUUUUCUGAAAAUCAAUUAAAGAACUGUUUAUGCUAAGCUGUUUAGACUUUAUCAGCUAACUGUUUAGUUUUGAGCUUUUCUUUAAUGCACUUUUCAGUUAACAAGUCAACAUCAAUUUCUUUUGCUGUAAAAAAGCUUGAGGAAGGUGGCUUGAGAUUCGUCUUAAGUGUUUAUAGCCUCUUGCCUAUGCAGUCGGAGAGAUUGAGGUCUGCAGCGUAGAUCCUUCGGGGCUAAAUGCAUUUGUGCUAAGUUAUAGCAUUUUAUAGACAACUUGUUGACUAUGAUUUGUCUUGCAGCUUACUCGCUUAUGUUAUUUUACCUACGCUUAGGAUGUUGAACGCGCACAGAGUCUC
rnacentral:rRNA from 1 species